rnacentral:rRNA from 1 species
GCCAGACUCCUACGGGAGGCAGCAGUGGGGAAUAUUGCACAAUGGGGGAAACCCUGAUGCAGCGACGCCGCGUGAGUGAAGAAGUAUUUCGGUAUGUAAAGCUCUAUCAGCAGGGAAGAAAAUGACGGUACCUGAUUAAGAAGCCCCGGCUAACUCCGUGCCAGCAGCCGCGGUAAUACGGAGGAUGCGAGCGUUAUCCGGAUUUAUUGGGUUUAAAGGGUGCGUAGGCGGACGCUUAAGUCAGCGGUAAAAUUGCGGGGCUCAACCUCGUCGAGCCGUUGAAACUGGGUGCCUUGAGUGGGCGAGAAGUACGCGGAAUGCGUGGUGUAGCGGUGAAAUGCAUAGAUAUCACGCAGAACCCCGAUUGCGAAGGCAGCCUUCCGGCGCCCUACUGACGCUGAGGCACGAAAGUGCGGGGAUCGAACAGGAUUAGAUACCCCAGUAACC